GACGAACGCUGGCGGCGUGCUUAACACAUGCAAGUCGAACGGAAAGGCCCUGCUUUUGUGGGGUGCUCGAGUGGCGAACGGGUGAGUAACACGUGAGUAGCCUGCCCUUGACUUUGGGAUAACUUCAGGAAACUGGGGCUAAUACCGGAUAGGAGCUCCUGCUGCAUGGUGGGGGUUGGAAAGUUUCGGCGGUUGGGGAUGGACUCGCGGCUUAUCAGCUUGUUGGUGGGGUAGUGGCUUACCAAGGCUUUGACGGGUAGCCGGCCUGAGAGGGUGACCGGCCACAUUGGGACUGAGAUACGGCCCAGACUCCUACGGGAGGCAGCAGUGUGGAAUAUUGCACAAUGGGCGGAAGCCUGAUGCAGCAACGCCGCGUGCGGGAUGACGGCCUUCGGGUUGUAAACCGCUUUCGCCUGUGACGAAGCGUGAGUGACGGUAAUGGGUAAAGAAGCACCGGCUAACUACGUG
rnacentral:rRNA from 1 species